rnacentral:lncRNA from 1 species
UAAUCUUGUAAUUUUUCCCAUAUUAUUUUCUUUAUGUCUAUAAUUUCUAUAUCUCUAAGUAUAUAUAAAACAAGUAUUUUAAUAUCAUCUGUCAUUUAAGCUUGAUUAAAUACUUUUUCAUAAUAUUUUUCAGUUGUUUGUUUUAGUCUAAGUAGUUCUUGCAUAUUUUUAUUAAGAAAUUAUAUAUAUUUUACAUCUUUAGUUUCCAUGUAUUUGUCUAAAU